rnacentral:rRNA from 1 species
AUACGGAGGGUCCGAGCGUUAUCCGGAAUCAUUGGGUUUAAAGGGUCCGUAGGCGGGAAUCUAAGUCAGUGGUGAAAUCUUGCAGCUCAACUGUAAAAUUGCCAUUGAUACUGGAUUUCUUGAAUUAGUGUGAAGUGGUUAGAAUGUGUAGUGUAGCGGUGAAAUGCAUAGAUAUUACACAGAAAACCAAUUGCGAAGGCAGAUCACUAACACUAUAUUGACGCUAAGGGACGAAAGCGUGGGGAGCGAACAGGAUUAGAUACCCCGGUAGUCC